GGCUAUAAAGAGGUCACAGGAAGAGGCACGUCUGGUGAGGAACAGGGGCCUCUCUGUCCAACAGUGGGGCUCACUAAGGCCCUAGGACCACAGAUGGCUGGAGGGCAGGUUGGAACAGAUACUGGUGCUUUGUCCGAUACAUGAUUUGUAGUUUGACUCUUCCUACGAUGUUCUGCAGAGAAGAUUUUUAAUUCUGAUGAAGCCAAUUUAGCAAAUUUUCCUCUCUUGGGGUUGUGAUUUGGAUGUCAACUUGGAACAGGAUGGCUGUGCACACUGAGAUAGACGCCGAGUUCUACCGAGAGCUGCCUCGAGAUGAAACACCUUUUGAUGAAUUCCCCACCCCACGCCCCAAUUUACACUGUUACCCAAGCCUGCAAACUGUGUACUUGAAGAAACACUCUCCUUCUCUCCCUGAUUGAAACCUCCUUAUUUUCCUUGCCAUUGUUUUUGAAUCUGUUUCAUACUUUUGUGAAAAUAAAGAGAUCUGUUUGCUGGGGGA
rnacentral:lncRNA from 1 species